rnacentral:tRNA from 1 species
GAGGGUGUAGCUUAGCCCGGUUGAAAGCACCAGUCUGUCGAACUGGAUAUCGUGGGUUCAAAUCCCAUCACCCUCG